CCGGGACCGAAAUAAAAUCGCAGCCGUUGGUCGAUCGUCGCUGGCCGUUGAAAUCCUUUGAGCCGAAAGUCGAAAGGGAAGAUCGAGUACGUAGCCGGCGUAAAAAUUGAUUCAGGCUUCGGCGUAGGCGUAGCGUCUGGAGUGGCUCUGGCCGGCCGCGGCCGCCGGUACAUAGUAUACGCUAUACACACGGUGGACUAGAAGAAGGCGGCGAGGUGCCGGGGCGUGCGUGUGCGCAGUGCCACCGACCAACAUGUCCGCCCGGGUGCUCUCCAGGUAGUCGUGGUUAUGCGGCGCGGUGCGUUGCACACCGUGCGUCGUCACCUCGGAUAUCCUCGUGCUCCUCCUCGUUUGGCCGCGCGACGCGUGUCCGGUUGAUCGCCGCAGGCCGCUCGGUCUUUCUCUGCGAAACGUGGCCCACCCCCGACGUGUUCUCUUCGGUUUCUUCGUCUUCGAUCUUCCUCGUGCGUUUCCCGGCACGCGGACUUUCCGUACCAGUUGCCGGUUGGACUGAAACCGCGUUUACGAUCAGAGUGCUCCGGCAGAGUAGUAGAAUCGCGUCGUAGAGGGACAGAGAUAGACAGGGUAAAAGAGAGAGAUAGACAUAGCGGGAGAGGGAGAGAAGCUUGAGGCAGGCGCGCGUAUUGAUUCCCGCGUGGCGUUUAUACGGUGAGGUGAGAAAGCUGCAACCGGAAGACUCGUGCCGCGCUUCCCUUCUUCGCCGCUCGUGAAAAGGGACUCCUCAGUUUGCGAAGGGAAUAUUUGGGAACUCCUCGGGGGUCUUCGGAGCUGCGACCUGCGUAAGAAGAGCGGGGAGGAGGGUGAGCUGUUGACCAGAAUGAGAGAAGUCGACCGAGCCAGCUCGAGCAGGGACCCGUCGGCCCUUCGCGCGAGAAAUGAUUUUUAGAAGGAAGAGGGCAUGACGCACCGAACUCAUGCAGUGGCGAAAACACGUGCGCAUCAAGUACGGUGGUCGAGUCGGUGUCGGUCAAGGGCAGCGGGAGCGGAAUCGGGAUCGGGAGCAGGUGCAGCGGCAGGUGCGCGUGGUGCAGCUGCAGCGAGAAGGGGGCGCACGGCUCAGCUACGUCUGUCAUCAGCCUCAACUCUCGUCGACGGCUCGCCGCAGCUGCAGCGCAGCAGCCAUGCUCUGCUGCGGCCGCA